rnacentral:sRNA from 1 species
AAUUGAAUAGGCUCCUCAAGGGCGGUCGGCUCAUCCCCUCAUGAAAGGGGGUGACGCCAUGUCGAAACAUGAAAUUCUCUUGCUCAUUCUCCAAGUGGGACUGUUCCUCACAGUUCUUGCUCUGGUUGUGAGAAUACUGAACUUCCUGAUAGACAUUCAAACCAAAAAGAAAUAGAUCGCCCCUUGAGUUGUGGUAGCUCAGGCGAUCUAUUUCCACCACAAAAUUGAGCCGACACCCUUGAAGGGUGUCAGUU